AAUGAACGUUGGCGGCGUGGAUUAGGCAUGCAAGUCGAGCGAGAACCCCGCAAGGGGGGACAGCGGCGAAAGGGACAGUAAUGUGUAGAUUAUCUGCCCUCAGGUCCGGGAUAGCUGCGGGAAACUGCAGGUAAUACCGGAUAACAUCUCCGGAUCAAAGGUGUGAUUCCGCCUGAGGAUGAGUCUGCAUCCUAUUAGCUAGUUGGUGGGGUAAUGGCCUACCAAGGCAUUGAUGGGUAGCAGGUGUGAGAGCACGACCUGCGUCAUUGGGACUGAGACACUGCCCAGACACCUAAGGGUGGCUGCAGUCGAGAAUCGUCGGCGAUGGGCGCAAGCCUGACCGAGCGACGCCGCGUGUGGGAUGAAGGCCGUCGGGUUGUAAACCACUGUCAGAGGGGAUGAAAUGCAGGUGGGUUCUCCCAUCUGUUUGACAUAGCCGCAGAGGAAGGACGGGCUAAGUUCGUG
rnacentral:rRNA from 1 species